rnacentral:lncRNA from 1 species
UUUUUUGCAUUUUUAGUAGAGACGGGGUUUCACCAUGUUAGCCAGGAUGGUCUCAUCUCCUGACCUCGUGAUCCACCCGCCUCGGCCUCCCAAAGUGCUGGGAUUACAGGCGUGAGCCACCGAGCCUGGCCUAAUAAAGGACAAUUUUUAAUAGCCACUGGACUAUUUAAGUGAUCUAUUCUUCUGUCAGUUUCUUUUACCAUCAGAGGACAUAGCAGCAAGGUGCCAUCCUAGAAGCAGAGAGCAGACCCUUACCAGACAACCAACCAGCUGGUGCCAUGAUCCUGGACUUCUCGGCCUCCAGAACUGAUGCAAUUGUCCAAUUAUUGGUGAAAUUGUCAUUUCAUGCUAUUGGCUAUUUGAAAUUCCUCCUCUAAUUUCAGAAUAAAUCACUGAAAUUGACAUCGGCCAGUCUGAAUUUCAAGAAAUUACCUGCUGGAGACAAGAGGGAUCUCUUCUUCAGAUUGGCAGUCUGGGGAAGACAGCCUCUAUAGUACUUUAGAACCUGAGAUACCGUGGUGGAGGGAGCCCUGGGUCAGUAGGAGUGGGGUCGAGUGGUAAGAUUCACCCUU